rnacentral:rRNA from 1 species
UACGAAGGGGGCUAGCGUUGCUCGGAAUCACUGGGCGUAAAGCGCACGUAGGCGGCUUCUUAAGUCAGGGGUGAAAUCCUGGAGCUCAACUCCAGAACUGCCUUUGAUACUGGGAAGCUUGGAGUCUGGGAGAGGUGAGUGGAACUGCGAGUGUAGAGGUGAAAUUCGUAGAUAUUCGCAAGAACACCAGUGGCGAAGGCGGCUCACUGGCCCGGUACUGACGCUGAGGUGCGAAAGCGUGGGGAGCAAACAGG